GACGAACGCUGGCGGCGUGCUUAACACAUGCAAGUCGAACGGUGACCUCGAGAGCUUGCUCUUGGGUGAUCAGUGGCGAACGGGUGAGUAACACGUGAGUAACCUGCCCCAGACUCUGGAAUAACCCCGGGAAACCGGAGCUAAUACCGGAUACGAGACGGAGCCGCAUGGCUACCGUUUGGAAAGUUUUUCGGUCUGGGAUGGACUCGCGGCCUAUCAGUUAGUUGGUGAGGUAACGGCUCACCAAGACGACGACGGGUAGCCGGCCUGAGAGGGCGACCGGCCACACUGGGACUGAGACACGGCCCAGACUCCUACGGGAGGCAGCAGUGGGGAAUAUUGCACAAUGGGCGAAAGCCUGAUGCAGCGACGCCGCGUGAGGGAUGAAGGCCUUCGGGUUGUAAACCUCUUUCAGCAGGGAAGAAGCGAAAGUGACGGUACCUGCAGAAGAAGCACCGGCUAACUACGUGCCAGCAGCCGCGGUAAUACGUAGGGUGCGAGCGUUGUCCGGAAUUAUUGGGCGUAAAGAGCUUGUAGGCGGUUUGUCGCGUCUGCCGUGAAAAUCCGGGGCUCAACCCCGGACUUGCGGUGGGUACGGGCAGACUAGAGUGUGGUAGGGGAGACUGGAAUUCCUGGUGUAGCGGUGAAAUGCGCAGAUAUCAGGAGGAACACCGAUGGCGAAGGCAGGUCUCUGGGCCACUACUGACGCUGAGAAGCGAAAGCGUGGGGAGCGAACAGGAUUAGAUACCCUGGUAGUCCACGCCGUAAACGUUGGGAACUAGGUGUGGGCCUCAUUCCACGAGGUCUGUGCCGCAGCUAACGCAUUAAGUUCCCCGCCUGGGGAGUACGGCCGCAAGGCUAAAACUCAAAGGAAUUGACGG
rnacentral:rRNA from 1 species